rnacentral:lncRNA from 1 species
GAAUUCGGGAUUUUUUGGGGAUUUUUAUUCCAAUUUUAGUUCCUUUUUUUGGGUCAUUUUAAGGCAAUUUUUCUACAGAAUUCGGGAUUUUUUUUCUGAUUUUUCCAUAAAUUUUGGGAUUUUUUUUGGGGAUAAUUUCCUCAAAAAUUCCCAUUUUUUUUUUGCUUUUUUUUCCCCCUUUUCCCCCCUUUUGGAUUCUGGGGAAUUUUUUGGGGGUCCCCAUUGGAUUUUUGGGGGUCACUGGGGGUCUCCUGCCAGCAGCCGGGGUCGGGGGAGGUCCCCAAACAUUUCGGUUCCGUCGCCCCCUCCCCGCAGCGCCAGGGCUCUCAUGGAGGCCGCGAUUCGCUCCAGGUCCGGGGGGGCCUGGGGGGACACAAAAUUUGGGGUUUUUUGGGGGGUUCUGAACCCUAAAAUUAUCCUAAAUAAUCCCUAAAAUUGUCCUGAAUAAUCCCCAAAAUUGUCCUGAAUAAUCCCUAAAAUUAUCCUAAAUAAUCCCCAAAAUUAUCCUAAAUAAUCCCCAAAAUUGUCCUGAAUAAUCCCUAAAAUUAUCCUAAAUAAUCCCCAAAAUUAUCCUAAAUAAUCCCCAAAAUUGUCCUGAAUAAUCCCUGAAAUUAUCCUAAAUUAUCCCAAAAAUAUCCUGAAUAAUCCCCCAAAAUUAUCCUAAAUAAUCCCCAAAAUUGUCCUAAAUAAUCUCUAAAAUUAUCCUAAAUUAUCCCAAAAAUAUCCUGAAUAAUCCUCAAAAUAAUUGUAAAUAAUCCCCCAAAAUUAUCCUAAAUAAUCCCCAAAAUUAUCCUAAAUUAUCCCAAAAAUAUCCUGAAUAAUUGCCCAAAAUUAUCCUAAAUAAUUCUAUUUAAAUCCCAAAAUAAUCGUAAAUAAUCCCCAUAAAAACAUCAAAAUUUGGUGUUUUUUGGGGGGUUCUGAACCCUAAAAUUAUCUUAAAAAAAUCCCUAAAAUUAUCCUAAAUUAUCCCAAAAAUAUCCUGAAUAAUCCCCCAAAAUUAUCUUAAAUAAUCCCCAAAAUUUUCCUGAAUAAUCCCCAAAAUUGUCCUGAAUAAUCCCCAAAAUUAUCCUAAAUAAUUCUAUUUAAAUCCCAAAAUAAUCCAAAAUAAUCCCCAUAAUAACAUCAAAAUUUGGGGUUUUUUUGAAGGUUCUGAACCCUAAAAUUAUCCUAAAAAAAACCCUAAAAUUAUCCUAAAUUAUCCCAAAAAUAUCCGGAAUAAUCCCCAAAAUUAUCCUAAAUAAUCCCCAAAAUUGUCCUGAAUUAUCCCAAAAAUAUCCUGAAUAAUCCUCAAAAUAAUUGUAAAUAAUCCCCCAAAAUUAUCCUAAAUUAUCCCAAAAAUAUCCUGAAUAAUCCUCAAAAUAAUUGUAAAUAAUCCCCAAAAUUACCCCAAAUAAUUCCCUUUAAACCCUGAAAUUUGGGGAUUUUUGGGGGGU